rnacentral:rRNA from 1 species
ACUCAAAGGAAUAGACGGGGGCCCGCACAAGCAGUGGAGUAUGUGGUUUAAUUCGAAGCAACGCGAAGAACCUUACCGGGGCUUGACAUGGAGACGACCGGCGUAGAGAUACGCCUUUCCUUCGGGACGGCUCACACAGGUGGUGCAUGGUUGUCGUCAGCUCGUGUCGUGAGAUGUUGGGUUAAGUCCCGCAACGAGCGCAACCCUUAUCAUUAGUUGCUACAUUAGGUUGAGCACUCUAAUGAGACUGCCGUUGACAAAACGGAGGAAGGUGGGGAUGACGUCAAAUCAUCAUGCCCUUUAUGUCCCGGGCUACACACGUACUACAAUGGCAUUUAACAAUGGGUAGCGAAGCCGCGAGGUGGAGCCAAUCCCCAAAAAGUGCCUCAGUUCAGAUUGCAGGCUGCAACUCGCCUGCAUGAAGUCGGAAUUGCUAGUAAUCGCGAAUCAGCAUGUCGCGGUGAAUACGUUCCCGGGCCUUGUACACACCGCCCGU